CCUACGGGUGGCAGCAGUGGGGAAUAUUGCACAAUGGGGGGAACCCUGAUGCAGCGACGCCGCGUGAAGGAAGAAGUAUUUCGGUAUGUAAACUUCUAUCAGCAGGGAAGAAAGUGACGGUACCUGGCUAAGAAGCCCCGGCUAAAUACGUGCCAGCAGCCGCGGUAAUACGUAGGGGGCAAGCGUUAGCCGGAUUUACUGGGUGUAAAGGGAGCGUAGGCGGCAGGGCAAGUCAGAAGUGAAAGCCCAAGGCUCAACCAUGGGACUGCUUUUGAAACUGUCCAGCUAGAGUGCAGGAGAGGUAAGUGGAAUUCCUAGUGUAGCGGUGAAAUGCGUAGAUAUUAGGAGGAACACCAGUGGCGAAGGCGGCUUACUGGACUGUAAAUGACGUUGAGGCUCGAAAGCGUGGGGAGCAAACAGGAUUAGAUACCCUAGUAGUC
rnacentral:rRNA from 1 species